rnacentral:sRNA from 1 species
AUAAAACUGGGGUUGUAGGGGAUGUAAUCUCCUACUCGCAUUCAGGAAGGUGCCCAGGUUGCAACACAGCCGUCGAAGGAAAC